GUCCCUGUAGUAUAUCGCACAUUACCCUGGUCUUGUAAACCAGAAAAGGGGGAAAACNUUCCUCCCAAGGACU
rnacentral:tRNA from 1 species